UACAGAGGUCUCAAGCGUUGUUCGGAUUCAUUGGGCGUAAAGGGUGCGUAGGCGGCGCGGUAAGUCGGGUGUGAAAUCUUGGAGCUUAACUCCGAAACUGCAUUCGAUACUGCCGUGCUUGAGGACUGGAGAGGAGACUGGAAUUUACGGUGUAGCAGUGAAAUGCGUAGAUAUCGUAAGGAAGACCAGUGGCGAAGGCGACUACCUGGCCUGUUCUUGACGCUGAGGCGCGAAAGCUAGGGGAGCAAACGGG
rnacentral:rRNA from 1 species